CGUGAGGCGGCGGACGGGUGAGUACGCGUGGGUAACCUGCCUCAUACAGGGGGAUAACAGUUAGAAAUGACUGCUAAUACCGCAUAAGACCACGGUACCGCAUGGUACAGUGGUAAAAACUCCGGUGGUAUGAGAUGGACCCGCGUCUGAUUAGGUAGUUGGUGGGGUAACGGCCUACCAAGCCGACGAUCAGUAGCCGACCUGAGAGGGUGACCGGCCACAUUGGGACUGAGACACGGCCCAG
rnacentral:rRNA from 1 species